CAGCCGUCAUCGGUGAGCUCCUGGUUGCCUUGGCCUCCCGCGGCAUCUCCGACCGCCCCUACUCUUCUGACGAGCACAUGCUGCAGCUCCUAGAGAGGGUGCACGAAUGCCACUUCUUCCACCAGCGACCCUCCCCUCUACGCCCAGCCUGUGGAACACUUCGACGCCAUCUUUGGAGCUGCCAAUGUCUUCCUGCAGAUGACUGAUGAGCUGAUCUUCUUCCACCAUUGGUAGCGGGAGGUGAUGCUGGAGUAGUACAUUGAUCAGCAGAUGGCAAGGAGAAGCUGGGACAGCCCUAAUGCAGUAACAUCACCAUGUGGCAAAUCCAGUAGAUUGACACAACAUUGGUGCUUGGGUGACGGGACAAAGUAUGUGUACUAGUGAUGGUACAUGAUAUUCAUGCUUCUCAUUGAUGUUAUGUGUGAUCAGCUAAAAUUUGUGCUUCUUGUCCAAUCUAUGUGGAUGUGCGCUUGUGCA